rnacentral:rRNA from 1 species
GAUCCUGGCUCAGGAUGAACGCUAGCUACAGGCUUAACACAUGCAAGUCGAGGGGCAGCAUGGUCUUUAGCUUGCUAAGGCCGAUGGCGACCGGCGCACGGGUGAGUAACACGUAUCCAACCUGCCGUCUACUCUUGGACAGCCUUCUGAAAGGAAGAUUAAUACAAGAUGGCAUCAUGAGUCCACAUGUUCACAUGAUUAAAGGUAUUCCGGUAGGCGAUGGGGA